rnacentral:rRNA from 1 species
CCUACGGGAGGCAGCAGUGAGGAAUAUUGGUCAAUGGACGUAAGUCUGAACCAGCCAAGUAGCGUGCAGGAUGACGGCCCUAUGGGUUGUAAACUUCUUUUAUGUGGGGAUAAAACGGUUCACGUGUGGGGUUUUGUAUGUACCGCAUGAAUAAGGAUCGGCUAACUCCGUGCCAGCAGCCGCGGUAAUACGGAGGGUCCGGGCGUUAUCCGGAUUUAUUGGGUUUAAAGGGAGCGUAGGUGGCUUGUUAAGUGAGUUGUGAAAGUUUGUGGCUCAACCGUAGAAUUGCAGUGGAAACUGGCAGUCUUGAGUACAGGAGAGGUGGGCGGAAUUCGUGGUGUAGCGGUGAAAUGCUUAGAUAUCACGAAGAACUCCGAUUGCGAAGGCAGUAUACGGGACUGCAACUGACGCUGAGGCUCGAAAGUGUGGGUAUCGAACAGGAUUAGAUACCCCUGUAGUC